AAAAAGGCAAAUCCUGGGUUUCCGUGCCAACGUUUGACUGUCCGUCUUAUAUGAUUUUUUUUAUAAUUAGUAUUUCCAUUGUUGUUAGAUGAUAAAACAUGAUUAAUACUUUAUGCGUGAUUUAUCUUUUUAAUUUUUUCAUAAUUUUUUUAAAUAAGAAGGACGGUCAAACGUUGGACACGGAAACCAGGGUUUGUCUUUUU
rnacentral:pre_miRNA from 1 species